GGAGUGGGUUAUAGUGACACAGUAACAGAGGGAUUGAGGGCCCUGCUCAGUGAGUUUACAUGUUAGAGGGAGUGGGGUAUAGUGACACAGUAACAGAGGGAUUGAGGGCCCUACUCAGUGAGUUUACAUGUUAGAGGGAGUGGGGUAUAGUAACACAGUAACAGAGGGAUUGAGGGCCUGCUCAGUGAGUUUACAUGUUAGAGGGAGUGGGGUAUAGUGACAGUAACAGAGGGAUUGAGGGUCCUGCUCAGUGAGUUUACAUGUUAGAGAGAGUGGGGUAUAGUGACACAGUAACAGAUGGA